AAAGAAAAUACGUUUACCUGUUUCCCAUAAUUAUGAAGUUCUUGGUACCUGAAUAAAGAAAUUCAUGCACAGCUCCACGGAAUACAAACGUGAAAAGAUCGGAUGCUAUUCCAUCUCGCAGUCUACGUUCGUAUGUCACAAUAUAACACGGUUAUUGCACCGAACAUAAACUCGGCGCUAUUGUUAUUGAAUUACAUGUGGUCGACAAAACCAUAAUCAACAAAUGCAGUGGGAUGAAAUAAACUGAAAGAAUCGCUUCGUUGUCCAAUGUCGUAAACUAAUGGGGCACUUGGAAAAUUCAACAAAGCAGCGCCCUUGGGGUGGAGUCUUAUUUAUUCGGCAUACAGGAGUGUCGCGCACAGGCAACUACCUUCCUGUGUCAAACAUGCUGGCCCUGUCCUCCGUUUAUUCGCCGAAUGGCAAAUGGGACUACAUACAAACGAUCCCGUGUUCUCCGCAAACAGCCACGCUAUACCACAACGACCUUCUUAACGCUUCGUUUCCA